UGGGGAAUUUUGGACAAUGGGCGAAAGCCUGAUCCAGCAAUGCCGCGUGUGUGAAGAAGGCCUUCGGGUUGUAAAGCACUUUUGUCCGGAAAGAAAAUCCUUGGCUCUAAUACAGUCGGGGGAUACGUACCGGAAGAAUAAGCACGGCUAACUACGUGCCAGCAGCCGCGGUAAUACGUAGGGUGCAAGCGUUAAUCGGAAUUACUGGGCGUAAAGCGUGCGCAGGCGGUUUGCUAAGACCGAUGUGAAAUCCCCGGGCUCAACCUGGGAACUGCAUUGGUGACUGGCAGGCUAGAGUAUGGCAGAGGGGGGUAGAAUUCCACGUGUAGCAGUGAAAUGCGUAGAGAUGUGGAGGAAUACCGAUGGCGAAGGCAGCCCCCUGGGCCAAUACUGACGCUCAUGCACGAAAGCGUGGGGAGCAAACAGGAUUAGAUACCCU
rnacentral:rRNA from 1 species